GACGAACGCUGGCGGCGUGCCUAAUACAUGCAAGUCGAGCGAAGCGGCGGAUGGGUGAGUAAUGCGUGGGUAACCUGCCCUUAAGUCUGGGAUACCAUUUGGAAACAGAUGCUAAUACCGGAUACUAAGGUUUGGUCUGGCGAGGCAUUAGCUAGUUGGUAGGGUAAGGCCUUACCAAGGCGAUGAUGCAUAGCUGGUUUGAGAGAAUGAUCGGCCACACUGGGACUGAGACACGGCCCAAACUCCUACGGGAGGCAGCAGUAGGGAAUCUUCCACAAUGGACGAAAGUCUGAUCGAGCAACGCCGCGUGAGUGAAGAAGGUUUUCGGAUCGUAAAGCUCUGUUGUUGGUGAAGCGGUAAUCAACCAAAAAGUCACGGCUAACUACGUGCCAGCAGCCGCGGUAAUAC
rnacentral:rRNA from 1 species